CUUCCAUCUGGAAGGAAUACUGGAGACAGGUGCUGCAUGGCUGUCGUCAGCUCGUGUCGUGAGAUGUUGGGUUAAGUCCCGCAACGAGCGCAACCCUUGCCUUUAGUUGCCAGCAGUUCGGCUGGGCACUCUAAAGGGACUGCCGGUGUUAAACCGGAGGAAGGUGGGGAUGACGUCAAGUCCUCAUGGCCUUUAUGACCAGGGCUACACACGUACUACAAUGGCCGAUACAAAGGGCAGCGACACUGCGAGGUGAAGCCAAUCCCGUAAAAUCGGUCUCAGUCCGGAUUGGAGUCUGCAACUCGACUCCAUGAAGUUGGAAUCGCUAGUAAUCGUGGAUCAGCAUGCCACGGUGAAUACGUUCCCGGGCCUU
rnacentral:rRNA from 1 species